AGAUGUGAGGGUGACCAGCUGUCACCCCACUGGUCACCAGGGUUGAUUCAGCUGAUCUGGCUGGCUAGGCGGGUGUCCCCUUCCUCCCUCACCAUUCCAUGUGUGCCCCUCCUGAGGCUGCACGCUCGGUGGAAGAGGAUGACCUUCCCUGAUAGAGGAGGACCGUUCUUCAGUCAAGGAUAUACAAGAAGCAGUGCUCGCCUGCUAGAAGCUCCAAACAAGCUCUCAAGGUUCCGGGGAAGUAGGUACCCAAUGUGACUGUUCCCAGCCACUUGUGUCCAGGUGGGACAUGUGGCUAGU
rnacentral:snRNA from 1 species